rnacentral:sRNA from 1 species
CCGCGCCCAGAUGUUCCGGUUGCAUCUCGGGAGCACUCCCCACAACCUCACGGAUGCAAACAUCCACGAGCUGGCCCGGAAGACGGAAGGCUACUCGGGCGCGGACAUCAGCAUCAUCGUGCGGGACUCCCUCAUGCAGCCCGUGAGGAAGGUGCAGUCGGCCACACACUUCAAAAAGACAUACCCGAGACUGGGAAGAAAAAGAGGUUGAAUUGGCCUCACAGUUCCACAUGGCUGGGGAGGCCUCAGAAUCAUGGUAGGAGACCAAAGGCACUUCUUACAUGCUGGUGGCAAGAGAAAAUGAAGAAGCAAAAGUGGAAACCCCUGAUAAACCCAUCACAUCUCGUGAGACUUCACCAUCACAAGAAUAGCACGGGAAACACCAGCCCCCGUGAUUCAGUUACCUCCCCCUGGGUCCCUCCCACAACAUGUGGGAAUUCUAGGAGAUACAGUUCAAGUUGAAAUGU